GAUUGGCUCAGGACGAACGCUGGCGGCACGCCUAACACAUGCAAGUCGAACGGAGAAAAUAGCUUCGGUUGUUUUCUUAGUGGCGGACGGGUGAGUAACACGUGAGGAACCUGCCUUUGAGAGUGGGAUAGCUUCUGGAAACGGAUGGUAAUACCGCAUAACAUAGCGAAACCGCAUGAUUUUGCUAUCAAAGUAUUUCACUCAGAGAUGGCCUCGCGUCUGAUUAGAUAGUUGGUGAGGUAACGG
rnacentral:rRNA from 1 species